AAAUGCUUCAGAACCCUGCCCUUGGGCUCACGGAGUCAUGUUGCCUACACCUGGGAAUUUGGAUGGCCCUUAGCAAGUGACUUACUCUGUGGGAGCACAAAAACCCAGCUCCCUUGGCUGGGGUCAGGACGAACACAUCCUCAUGCUAUGCACAUAUAACCAAAUCAAGGCACCAGUAUUUACUGUGGAAUUCAAGAGGAAAAGCUCAGUCUCUGUGGGAAUGGCUUAGAAACAGUGCUCUUUCCAUCAUGAGGUGGAGUUACUUCUCCAGCGUUUGAAUCUGCUGUUUUGAUCAACAGAAUAUGGCUGAAGUGACAUGUGUGUUUGUGCCUGGGUGAAGAUGGGGGGCAUUUAAGUCCAGGGCUUAGGAGUUCUGGUAGCUUCCACUUUUGCCUGGGGGGUUUCCAGCCACCAUGUGAAGAAGCUCAGAUUAACCUGCUGGAGACAGAAGCCACUUAGGAGGAGAGCCAAGCUCCCAGAUAUAUUAGUGAACCCGGCUGACCCCAUGAAAAGAGAGAGGCCCAGCCACCCCAGUUAGCCCCAGCCAUGCGAACCACCCCAACUGAGCCAUCAGACAUGUCAGUGUGGCCAUUUUGGGUUUUCCAGCUCCAGUCAAGAUAUUGCAGCCCCAAAUUCCUGAACCACAGAACUGUGAGAUGUAAAAAGGUAGUUGUUUUAUGCUACUAAGUUUUGGGGUGGUUUGUUAGGAAGCAAUAGCUAACAGCAGACACUUGUAGUUGCUCCACAAUAUCCCUUCUCCCCCUUUUCCUCUUUAAAAGAAAGGCUGAGUUUUC
rnacentral:lncRNA from 1 species